rnacentral:misc_RNA from 1 species
GCGCCUGCAAAACCCUAGUUCGCUCUUCAAUUUCCUUUUUUCAGUUUCAAACGCGAAACAGCUACCAGAGAAGUUUCUCUUCUCACAUUUCAUCGAAUUUUUCUUUUUUCCGGCCGCUGCCUCUACUCUCUCGUAAUCCAGCAUUCAGAAUCGAACCGUGUAGAGAUCCUUCAAGACGAUAUGGCAGCACUCAAGGAGCAAUUUCACUGGAAACGUCAGAGGAAAUGGCAGUUCCCCGUGUUGCCGUUGAAAGUUCGGAGGAAAAAUCCAAAGACACAGUAGAGGAGUUACUGUACAACAAAGAUGAUGUCUCAAAGCUGAUGAAAAUGGAACGCAGGCUUGAUACCGAAGGCCUGGGUCAUCAGGAGCGU